rnacentral:lncRNA from 1 species
UUUGAGUUAUGUAAUUAAUAUUAUUGUUGGGAAACCUCUAAUUAGUGUUUUGAAGGCGAGGAUCAUAUUUAACCCUAGACAUAGUUGUAUACAUUGGAAUGUCUCUUUUGCCAAUUUGUUAUUUAGAGUUUAAAGGGGGCAUGCAAGUAUGAACAAACCUAUCUCAACCCGUCAGGACCAUUUGGUUGUCGGUGGGAUGACAAAUGCGAAGCUGCUUUUGAGGAGUUAAAACAAAGACUAACAAAUGCUCCUGUGUUGGUCUUUGCAAAUUCCCAGUUACCCUACGUGCUACAUGUUGACGCAAGUCAAGAAGGGCUUGGUGGAGUUUUAUACCAAGACCAAGGUGAAGGGCUCAGACCAGUCGCUUUCAUUAGUCGCAGCCUAACUCCAUCUGAAUGUCACUAUCCGGCACACAAGCUGGAAUACCUUGCUUUAAAGUGGGCCGUAGUCGAUAAGCUACAUGACUAUCUGUAUGGUGCAAAGUUUGAGGUCAGAACCGAUAACAACCCUUUGACCUAUGUGUUGACGUCUGCCAAAUUAGACGCAACGGGCCACCGUUGGCUGGCAGCUCUGUCCACAUAUGACUUCAGUCUCAAGUACAGAUCAGGAGUCCAAAAUAUCGACGCAGACGCACUGUCAAGGCGCCCACACCCUAACCAAAAUUCUGAAAGGCAAUGGACAGACAUUUCCGCAGAUGGCGUCAGAGCUAUGUGUCAAGUAUCUAAAGUGACCAAGGAAAGUACCUGUCCUGAAAGAGCCAUUGAUCAUUUAGGCUUAUCCAUGCACGCCAUACCCAAAGCCUACUGUAAUCUGUCCACACACAGUCUCAAAGGAAUGCCCAUUCUCAGUCCAGCUGAAAUCUCAAAAGCUCAACAAGAAGGUCCUGCACUCAAUGAAAUAUGGAAAGCUGUAAAGCAAGGAGAUACAAAUCAAGUCAAGUCAAAGAAUCCAGUUAUCUCACUACUACUAAGAGAGUUUGAAAGACUAAAGCUACAACAAGAUGUCAUGUAUCGAAUCACUGUUCCACCUGGCCGAAGUCGCCGUUCACAACUAGUUUUGCCAGAAAAGUUCAGACACACAGUGAUGAAAGC